rnacentral:lncRNA from 1 species
GGUCAAAAGCCCAGAGCCUCAUCAGCAUCCCAGAGUCCAGUCUUUCAUCAUCCCAAUAGCUGGUUGCUGAAACUUGAGGUACGCCAUCUUUGAGAGCCCCAGGAGUAAUGAUGACACAUGAAGAUAAAGACAAGAGAAAUAGCCAGCCCUGAUCAAAUACAUAUGAAGAAAUGCAUUC